AACGAACGCUGGCGGCAGCCUUACACAUGCAAGUCGAACGGUAACAGGUCUUCGGAUGCUGACGAGUGGCGAACGGGUGAGUAAUACAUCGGAACGUGCCCGAGAGUGGGGGAUAACGAGGCGAAAGCUUUGCUAAUACCGCAUACGAUCUCAGGAUGAAAGCAGGGGACCGCAAGGCCUUGCGCUCACGGAGCGGCCGAUGGCAGAUUAGGUAGUUGGUGGGAUAAAAGCUUACCAAGCCGACGAUCUGUAGCUGGUCUGAGAGGGCGACCAGCCACACUGGGACUGAGACACGGCCCAGGCUCCUACGGGAGGCAGCAGUGGGGAAUUUUGGACAAUGGGCGCAAGCCUGAUCCAGCCAUGCCGCGUGCAGGAUGAAGGCCUUCGGGUUGUAAACUGCUUUUGUACGGAACGAAAAGACUUCUUCUAAUAAAGGGGGUCCAUGACGGCACCGUAAGAAUAAGCACCGGCUAACUACGUGCCAGCAGCCGCAGUAACAC
rnacentral:rRNA from 1 species